GGGUGAGUAACACGUGAGUAACCUGCCCCUUACUUUCCUGGAUAACUGCUCGAAAGGGUAUCUAAUACGGGAUAUUCUGACCAUCCUGCAUGGGUUGGUUUGGAAAGGUUUUUUCUGGUAAGGGAUGGGCUCGCGGCCUAUCAGCUUGUUGGUGGGGUGAUGGCCUACCAAGGCUUUGACGGGUAGCCGGCCUGAGAGGGUGGACGGUCACACUGGGACUGAGAUACGGCCCAGACUCC
rnacentral:rRNA from 1 species